rnacentral:misc_RNA from 1 species
UGAAAAGUUUAUAAUUUACCAGUUGGACUGAGGCCACUUUCCAAUUACUUAAAAUAUAGUUUUGGGAUUUCUUUUGUGAAUGGGGUGAAGUGCUUUGCAUCGGNNAAUCGGCAUUCAUUCUGGUUGAUAUUUGAUUUUUGCUUAUACCCUAGAGAGGAAAUGUCAGUGCAAAUAUAGCAAUUGGACUGAGGCCACCAAUGGGGGACAAUAUCUUCUUCCAAGUGUAAUGCUUAAAAUAGAGUUUUUAGAUUUCUGUUGCGAGUGUUAGCUUGUACUUGACAAAGGGAAUCUGUAUCUUAGAGUUAUUUAUUGGUGAUUUCG